rnacentral:rRNA from 1 species
UUCCGGUUGAUCCUGCCGGAGGUCACUGCUAUUGGAGUUCGAUUAAGCCAUGCGAGUCAAGAGUUCUUCGUGAACUCGGCGGACUGCUCAGUAACACGUGGGUAAUCUACCCUAAGGUCAGGGAUAAUCCCGGGAAACUGGGAAUAAUACCUGAUAGGUGAAGAUGUCUGGAACGAUACUUCGCCCAAAGCUCCGGCGCCUUAGGAUGAGCCUGCGCCCGAUUAGGUUGUUGGUGGUGUAAAGGACCACCAAGCCCGUUAUCGGUACGGGUGUUGAGAGACAUAGCCCGGAGAUGGGGGCUGAGACACGGCCCCAGGCCCUACGGGGCGCAGCAGGCGCGGAAACUACGCAAUGCGCGAAAGCGUGACGUGGGAACUCCAAGUGCCUUGCCUUAGGGUGAGGCUUUUGUUUAGUGUAAGUAGCUAAACGAAUAAGUGCUGGGUAAGACCGGUGCCAGCCGCCGCGGUAAUACCGGCAGCGCAAGUGNGUGACCGCUUUUAUUNGGNGCCCUAAAGCGUUCGUAGCCGGUUUGGUAAGUCUUUGGGUAAAUCCUCCAGCUUAACUGGAGGAAUUCCGGAGAUACUGCCAGACUUGGAGUUGAGAGAGGUCAGAGGUACCUCUGGGGUAGGGGUGAAAUCCUAUAAUCCUAGGGGGACCACCAGUGGCGAAGGCGUCUGACUAGAGCAAGCUCGACGGUGAGGGACGAAAGCCAGGGGCGCGAACGGGAUUAGAUACCCCGGUAGUCCUGGCCGUAAACGCUGCGCGCUAGGUGUUGCAUGCUCUACGAGGGCGUGCAGUGCCGAAGAGAAGUUGAUAAGCGUGCCGCCUGGGAAGUAUUACCGCAAGGUAGAAACUUAAAGGAAUUGGCGGGGGAGCACCACAAGGGGUGGAGUCUGCGGUUCAAUUGGAUUCAACGCCGGNAAAGCCGAAUUCUGCAGAUAUCCAUCACACUGGCGGCCGCUCGAGCAUGCAUCUAGAGGGCCCAAUUCGCCCUAUAGUGAGUCGUAUUACAAUUCACUGGCCGUCGUUUUACAACGUCGUGAU